AGUGAACGCUGGCGGUAGGCCUAACACAUGCAAGUCGAACGGUAGCACAGUAAGAGCUUGCUCUUACGGGUGGCGAGUGGCGGACGGGUGAGGAAUACAUCGGAAUCUACUUUUUCGUGGGGGAUAACGUAGGGAAACUUACGCUAAUACCGCAUACGACCUACGGGUGAAAGCAGGGGAUCUUCGGACCUUGCGCGAUUGAAUGAGCCGAUGUCGGAUUAGCUAGUUGGCGGGGUAAAGGCCCACCAAGGCGACGAUCCGUAGCUGGUCUGAGAGGAUGAUCAGCCACACGGGAGCUGAGACACGGUCCAGACUCCUACGGGAGGCAGCAGUGGGGAAUAUUGGACAAGGGGCGCAAGCCUGAUCCAGCCAUACCGCGUGGGUGAAGAAGGCCUUCGGGUUGUAAAGCCCUUUUGUUGGGAAAGAAAAGCAGCAGGUUAAUACCCCGCUGUUCUGACGGUACCCAAAGAAUAAGCACCGGCUAACUUCGU
rnacentral:rRNA from 1 species